CCAAACCGUCGCCGGAACAGGUUUAUGAGGCAUUACCGGACAUAUCACACAAUUUACACAUAAUUUAAAAAUAAACAACCAACAUAUUAAAAUAAAUCAUAAUUCAUAUAAAUUUUACUAAUUGAUUUCAUUCAUUCAUUUUUUUUAUUUUAUAAAAAUUUCGGCAGCAUUUCGGCUUAUUUUUACAUUAAACCCCCUGCAAAAUUUCAAAUAUAACCAACUCAAUUCCAGUAUUUCAACCAAG
rnacentral:lncRNA from 1 species